rnacentral:tRNA from 1 species
GGCCUUAUAUUCAAUUAUGAUUCUAGACUGCAAUUCUAGAGGUGUAAUAAUUUUUACUAAGGCCU